rfam:Sus scrofa isolate TJ Tabasco breed Duroc chromosome 14, whole genome shotgun sequence.
UCCUUGGUGGCCUAGCAGUUAAGGAUUCAGCAUUGUCACUGCUAUGGCUCAUGUUCGAUCCCUGACCUGGGAA